GACAGAGGUGCCGAGCGUUAGGCGGAAUCAGCUGGGCUUAAAGCGUGUGUAGGCGGGUCGUUAAGUGUCUUGUGAAACGUCCCCCGGCUCAACCGGGGAAUGGCUGGGCAUACUGGCGAGUCUUGAGCAGUCUAGGGGGCAGAUGGAACAAGUGGUGGAGCGGUGAAAUGCGUAGAUAUCACUUGGAACGCCAACGGUGAAGACAAGGUCUCGCGUGGGGGACUUGCUGACGCUGAGACACGAAAGCCAGGGGAGGCGAACGGG
rnacentral:rRNA from 1 species